UGCACCCACAAACUAAAUGACGGAUACGGACUUUGUUGAACUUUGCAAACCACCGUUCAACCCCUCAGAGUCAGAAGAAAGAUCCAGAACCAAGCAGCAGCCAAGAGCCACAAGUCCAGAGUGGGAGAUGUUCAGAGGGAGCUGAUGCCACAUCUGGUCCAGCCGAUGGAAGGUGUUGAAGUUCUCUGACUGAAGAUGGUCCUCUCACUGGAUUUAAGGUUCAAAUGCUCAGGAACAAACUCCACCAAUGAGUCAACAGGGAAGCUUUAGGUUUAUUAAAUGUUGCUAUGAAGCAUGAAGACUAAAGGAUCCAAAAUAAGUUGGACUUCUACAUAAGAGCUUUAAUUAUUCUUCAUCUACUUCCUGAAAAGUCUGGUCAAUAAAAAAGACAAAAACUAAUAUUUUCAGCUGAACUAAAGAUAGACUUUGUGAUUUUU